rnacentral:rRNA from 1 species
GAAAAGAACUUUGAAAAGAGAGUUAAAUAGUACGUGAAAUUGUUGAAAGGGAAACGAUUGAAGUCAGUCGUACCGACGAGAAAUCAGCUCUUUGAGUGUUUACUUGUGGGCGUGCUUGAGUCUUUAACGGGCCUCGCUGUUUGCAUGUUUGCGCUUUUUGGGUGUUCUUUUUCGUAUGGUUGGCCAACGUCAGUUUCGAUCACCAUAAAAUGAUCAGGGGAAUGUGGCUUCGAUUUCGAUUGAAGUGUUAUAGACUUUGGUAGAUGUGGUGAUCGAAACUGAGGAUUGCAACGAAUACCCUUUGGGCUAUCCGUCUGUCCUCUGAAAGUUGCCUAGGUGCCGAAAGCUUGCUUACGGUUAUCCAAGUUGACUGCCAAUAGGUUAGAACGUGAUUACAUUC